UAAAAUAAAUUUUUUUGUUAGAAUUAUGGAAAUGUAUUGGGUGGCCAUAAAUAAAAAAUUGUUGGGUCUGAAAUAUGAUUAAUGGCGGUGGUGGGCCUGUGUCUUGGUCGUGGAGCCAUGUGGGGAACCUUUCAAGAUUCGAAAUUGGGUACAAAAAUAAUAGUGUAUGACGUAGUUGUAAGCAUUAAGCAGCUUCUUUUUUCUUCCAAUAAUGAGGAAUCAACUACUGUUUCUCUUCCCCAAUUCACAUGCCUUCCAGCCCUUUCCCUUUUAUUGUUUAUGCCUCCAAUUAUUAAUCUUUCAUCUUAUAGCUUCAUUAAAUUUUAUAUCUAUCACAACACAAUCUAUAAUAAUUAGCAUAGAGCCAGAUGUACCCAUGUGGUGCCCAUAGAAUGGGACACAUUUGCUUUAUCAAAGGGAAUGGGGUUUGGUAGGUGCAGACAAUCAUUGUCACAUAACACAUUCCCUACUAAAAUACACUUCUCUACCUUCUUUACACACUCCCCACCACAAACUUCCAAACCCUCUUCUUUCCGCCCUGCUUUUACAUACUCAAUACCUACUUUCCAACUGCUUAAUCAUACAAUUUGGCAUAAUAAAGCAACAUCAUUCUUAAUUACUUGUACUUCUGUUAACAUAACGAUACUUUGAUAACAUUGUUUUAUAAUGUUUUAAUAUCGUCUACGUGUUAUUAUUAGAUGCGUCUAUAUUGUUGUUUAUAAUUAUUAUUAAUGAUUCAGAUGAUGUUAAAAUAUUGUCAAAAAAAUAUUGUCAAAGUAUCA
rnacentral:lncRNA from 1 species